rnacentral:rRNA from 1 species
ACGGGUGAGUAAUGUCUGGGAAACUGCCUGAUGGAGGGGGAUAACUACUGGAAACGGUAGCUAAUACCGCAUAACGUCUACGGACCAAAGUGGGGGACCUUCGGGCCUCAUGCCAUCAGAUGUGCCCAGAUGGGAUUAGCUAGUAGGUGGGGUAAUGGCUCACCUAGGCGACGAUCCCUAGCUGGUCUGAGAGGAUGACCAGCCACACUGGAACUGAGACACGGUCCAGACUCCUACGGGAGGCAGCAGUGGGGAAUAUUGCACAAUGGGCGCAAGCCUGAUGCAGCCAUGCCGCGUGUGUGAAGAAGGCCUUCGGGUUGUAAAGCACUUUCAGCGAGGAGGAAGGGUUCAGUGUUAAUAGCACUGUGCAUUGACGUUACUCGCAGAAGAAGCACCGGCUAACUCCGUGCCAGCAGCCGCGGUAAUACGGAGGGUGCAAGCGUUAAUCGGAAUUACUGGGCGUAAAGCGCACGCAGGCGGUUUGUUAAGUCAGAUGUGAAAUCCCCGCGCUUAACGUGGGAACUGCAUUUGAAACUGGCAAGCUAGAGUCUUGUAGAGGGGGGUAGAAUUCCAGGUGUAGC